rnacentral:misc_RNA from 1 species
UUUGGUUUGUUCCGGGUGGUUGGCUCUUUGCUUGCGCAACAACUGCCACCCGACUUACCUCUUCAGAUGCUUGCCUAGGCAAAUGUAGCCUAUGCAGAUUGUGGGUUUCCUGUGUUGCCUACCUACGUUAUGGAAUGGUCGCGAUAGAUUGAAGUUGCUUUCGUUUUGUGUCAUCUACAUGGCAUAAGAUGAACCUUGAAGCGGUCUCUUUGCACCACAUUGUUAAUGCUUGCGUUGAUGUUGUGGCCCAUUGAGCAUUGCUUGGAACCAUGGAUACGGAACCUGAUGCGGGCAUGGGUCUUAACAGAUCCUUGUUMUGCCCUCAUUUAGCGUUCACGCUUCUCUUAAAAUGACUGCCCAGCCGGUAUGGCAAAGCCAUUAUGGAUGGGUAUGGUCAAAGAGGAAUGC